rnacentral:tRNA from 1 species
GGGCCGGUGGUCUAGUCCGGUAAACUGAUCGGUGUUCGCUCAGUCUGCCAAUGACGCCUCCCUGACACGGAGGAGGUCGGCAGUUCAAGUCUGCUCCGGCCCACCA